rnacentral:rRNA from 1 species
UACGGGGGGGGCAAGCGUUGUUCGGAAUUACUGGGCGUAAAGGGCUCGUAGGUGGCCAACUAAGUCAUACGUGAAAUCCCUCGGCUUAACCGGGGAACUGCGUCUGAUACUGGAUGGCUUGAGGUUGGGAGAGGGAUGCGGAAUUCCAGGUGUAGCGGUGAAAUGCGUAGAUAUCUGGAGGAACACCGGUGGCGAAGGCGGCAUCCUGGACCAAUUCUGACACUGAGGAGCGAAAGCGUGGGGAGCGAACAGG